GAUGAACGCUGGCGGCGUGCUUAACACAUGCAAGUCGAACGGAAAGGCCCAAGCUUGCUUGGGUACUCGAGUGGCGAACGGGUGAGUAACACGUGGGUGAUCUGCCCUGCACUUCGGGAUAAGCCUGGGAAACUGGGUCUAAUACCGGAUAGGACGAUGUUUUGGAUGCCAUUGUGGAAAGUUUUUUCGGUGUGGGAUGAGCUCGCGGCCUAUCAGCUUGUUGGUGGGGUAAUGGCCUACCAAGGCGUCGACGGGUAGCCGGCCUGAGAGGGUGUACGGCCACAUUGGGACUGAGAUACGGCCCAGACUCCGACGGGAGGCAGCAGUGGGGAAUAUUGCACAAUGGGCGCAAGCCUGAUGCAGCGACGCCGCGUGGGGGAUGACGGCCUUCGGGUUGUAAACUCCUGUCGCUAGGGACGAAGCGUUUUUGUGACGGUACCUGGAGAAGAAGCACCGGCUAACUACGUG
rnacentral:rRNA from 1 species